CUGGAGGUAUCAGAAGUGCGAAUGCUGACAUAAGUAACGAUAAAGCGGGUGAAAAGCCCGCUCGCCGGAAGACCAAGGGUUCCUGUCCAACGUUAAUCGGGGCAGGGUGAGUCGACCCCUAAGGCGAGGCCGAAAGGCGUAGUCGAUGGGAAACAGGUUAAUAUUCCUGUACUUGGUGUUACUGCGAAGGGGGGACGGAGAAGGCUAUGUUGGCCGGGCGACGGUUGUCCCGGUUUAAGCGUGUAGGCUGGUUUUCCAGGCAAAUCCGGAAAAUCAAGGCUGAGGCGUGAUGACGAGGCACUACGGUGCUGAAGCAACAAAUGCCCUGCUUCCAGGAAAAGCCUCUAAGCAUCAGGUAACAUCAAAUCGUACCCCAAACCGACACAGGUGGUCAGGUAGAGAAUACCAAGGCGCUUGAGAGAACUCGGGUGAAGGAACUAGGCAAAAUGGUGCCGUAACUUCGGGAGAAGGCACGCUGAUAUGUAGGUGAAGUCCCUCGCGGAUGGAGCUGAAAUCAGUCGAAGAUACCAGCUGGCUGCAACUGUUUAUUAAAAACACAGCACUGUGCAAACACGAAAGUGGACGUAUACGGUGUGACGCCUGCCCGGUGCCGGAAGGUUAAUUGAUGGGGUUAGCCGCAAGGCGAAGCUCUUGAUCGAAGCCCCGGUAAACGGCGGCCGUAACUAUAACGGUCCUAAGGUAGCGAAAUUCCUUGUCGGGUAAGUUCCGACCUGCACGAAUGGCGUAAUGAUGGCCAGGCUGUCUCCACCCGAGACUCAGUGAAAUUGAACUCGCUGUGAAGAUGCAGUGUACCCGCGGCAAGACGGAAAGACCCCGUGAACCUUUACUAUAGCUUGACACUGAACAUUGAGCCUUGAUGUGUAGGAUAGGUGGGAGGCUUGGAAGUGUGGACGCCAGUCUGCAUGGAGCCGACCUUGAAAUACCACCCUUUAAUGUUUGAUGUUCUAACGUUGACCCGUAAUCCGGGUUGCGGACAGUGUCUGGUGGGUAGUUUGACUGGGGCGGUCUCCUCCUAAAGAGUAACGGAGGAGCACGAAGGUUGGCUAAUCCUGGUCGGACAUCAGGAGGUUAGUGCAAUGGCAUAAGCCAGCUUGACUGCGAGCGUGACGGCGCGAGCAGGUGCGAAAGCAGGUCAUAGUGAUCCGGUGGUUCUGAAUGGAAGGGCCAUCGCUCAACGGAUAAAAGGUACUCCGGGGAUAACAGGCUGAUACCGCCCAAGAGUUCAUAUCGACGGCGGUGUUUGGCACCUCGAUGUCGGCUCAUCACAUCCUGGGGCUGAAGUAGGUCCCAAGGGUAUGGCUGUUCGCCAUUUAAAGUGGUACGCGAGCUGGGUUUAGAACGUCGUGAGACAGUUCGGUCCCUAUCUGCCGUGGGCGCUGGAGAACUGAGGGGGGCUGCUCCUAGUACGAGAGGACCGGAGUGGACGCAUCACUGGUGUUCGGGUUGUCAUGCCAAUGGCACUGCCCGGUAGCUAAAUGCGGAAGAGAUAAGUGCUGAAAGCAUCUAAGCACGAAACUUGCC
rnacentral:rRNA from 1 species